UCAAGCGAAUAAGCGCACACGGUGGAUGCCUUGGCGGUCAGAGGCGAUGAAGGACGUGGCAGCCUGCGAAAAGUAUCGGGGAGCUGGCAACAAGCUUUGAUCCGGUAAUGUCCGAAUGGGGAAACCCACCCGCUUGCGGGUAUCCUGCAGUGAAUACAUAGCUGCUGGAAGCGAACCUGGUGAACUGAAAUAUCUAAGUAACCAGAGGAAAAGAAAUCAACCGAGAUUCCGUAAGUAGCGACGAGCGAACGCGGACUAGCCCUUAAGCUGGAUUGGUUCUAGGAAAACGCUCUGGAAAGAGCGGCCAUAGAAGGUGAUAGCCCUGUAUCUGAAAGGGCCAUUCCAGUGAAGACGAGUAGGGCGGGGCACGUGAAACCCUGUCUGAACAUGGGGGGACCAUCCUCCAAGGCUAAAUACUACUGACCGACCGAUAGUGAACCAGUACCGUGAGGGAAAGGCGAAAAGAACCCCGGAGAGGGGAGUGAAAUAGAACCUGAAACCGUGUGCGUACAAGCAGUAGGAGCUCCGCAAGGAGUGACUGCGUACCUUUUGUAUAAUGGGUCAGCGACUUACUGUUCGUGGCAAGCUUAACCGUAUAGGGGAGGCGAAGGGAAACCGAGUCUGAUAAGGGCGCAUAGUCGCGGGCAGUAGACCCGAAACCGGGUGAUCUAGUCAUGCCCAGGGUGAAGGUGCGGUAACACGCACUGGAGGCCCGAACCCACUCCCGUUGCAAAGGUAGGGGAUGAGGUGUGAUUAGGAGUGAAAAGCUAAUCGAACCCGGAGAUAGCUGGUUCUCCUCGAAAGCUAUUUAGGUAGCGCCUCAUAUGUAUCCUCUCGGGGGUAGAGCACUGUUAUGGCUAGGGGGUCAUCGCGACUUACCAAACCAUUGCAAACUCCGAAUACCGAGACGGACUGUAUGGGAGACACACGGCGGGUGCUAACGUCCGUCGUGAAAAGGGAAACAACCCAGACCCACAGCUAAGGUCCCAAAUUUUGUGCUAAGUGGAAAACCAUGUGGAAAGGCACAGACAGCCAGGAGGUUGGCUUAGAAGCAGCCACCCUUUAAAGAAAGCGUAAUAGCUCACUGGUCGAGUCGGUCUGCGGGGAAGAUUUAACGGGGCUAAGCACAGAACCGAAGCUUGGGGUGCAUAACUUUGUUAUGCGCGGUAGAGGAGCGUUCCGUAAGCCGUUGAAGGUGGAUUGAGAAGUCUGCUGGAGGUAUCGGAAGUGCGAAUGCUGACAUGAGUAACGAUAAUGCGGGUGAAAAACCCGCACGCCGAAAGCCCAAGGUUUCCUUGCGCAACGUUAAUCGGCGCAGGGUGAGUCGGCCCCUAAGGCGAGGACGAAAGUCGUAGUCGAUGGGAAGCAGGUUAAUAUUCCUGCACCUCGCGUAAGUGCGAUGGAGGGACGGAGAAGGUUAGGUGUACCAGGCGUUGGUUGUCCUGGGGAAAGGCGGUAGGUUUGGAUCUUUGGCAAAUCCGGGAUCCUCUAAGACCGAGCACCGAGACGAGCCUUUAUGGCGAAGUCACUGAUACCACGCUUCCAGGAAAAGCUCCUAAGCUUCAGCUUACGCAGACCGUACCGUAAACCGACACAGGUGGGUAGGAUGAGAAUUCUCAGGCGCUUGAGAGAACUCGGGUGAAGGAACUAGGCAACAUGGCACCGUAACUUCGGGAGAAGGUGCACCCUUUUUGGUGGCUCGUGCGAGCUAUAGCUGAAGAGGGUCGCAGUAACCAGGCCGCUGCGACUGUUUAUCAAAAACACAGCACUCUGCAAACACGAAAGUGGACGUAUAGGGUGUGACGCCUGCCCGGUGCUGGAAGGUUAAUUGAUGGGGUCAGCCGCAAGGCGAAGCUCUUGAUCGAAGCCCCAGUAAACGGCGGCCGUAACUAUAACGGUCCUAAGGUAGCGAAAUUCCUUGUCGGGUAAGUUCCGACCUGCACGAAUGGCGUAACGACAGCGGCGCUGUCUCCACCCGAGACUCAGUGAAAUUGAAAUCGCUGUGAAGAUGCAGCGUUCCCGUGGCAAGACGGAAAGACCCCGUGAACCUUUACUAUAGCUUUACACUGAACGUUGAGUUCGUCUGUGUAGGAUAGGUGGGAGGCUAUGAAACUGUGGCGCUAGCUGCAGCGGAGCCAUCCUUGAAAUACCACCCUGUCGUGCUUGACGUUCUAACCUGGGCCCAUUAUCUGGGUCGGGGACCGUGUAUGGUGGGUAGUUUGACUGGGGCGGUCUCCUCCUAAAGAGUAACGGAGGAGCUCGAAGGUACGCUCAGCGCGGUCGGACAUCGCGCACUGUGUGCAAAGGCAUAAGCGUGCUUGACUGCAAGAUCGACGGAUCAAGCAGGUAGGAAACUAGGACUUAGUGAUCCGGUGGUUCUGUAUGGAAGGGCCAUCGCUCAACGGAUAAAAGGUACUCCGGGGAUAACAGGCUGAUACCGCCCAAGAGUUCAUAUCGACGGCGGUGUUUGGCACCUCGAUGUCGGCUCAUCACAUCCUGGGGCUGUAGUCGGUCCCAAGGGUAUGGCUGUUCGCCAUUUAAAGUGGUACGCGAGCUGGGUUCAGAACGUCGUGAGACAGUUCGGUCCCUAUCUGCCAUGGGCGUUGGAGAUUUGAGAGGGGCUGCUCCUAGUACGAGAGGACCGGAGUGGACGAACCUCUGGUGUUCCGGUUGUCACGCCAGUGGCAUUGCCGGGUAGCUAUGUUCGGAAGCGAUAACCGCUGAAAGCAUCUAAGCGGGAAGCGCGCCUCAAGAUGAGAUCUCCCGGGGCACAAGCCCCCUGAAGGAACCAUGUAGACUACGUGGUUGAUAGGUCAGGUGUGUAAGUACAGCAAUGUAUUGAGCUAACUGAUACUAAUGAUCCGUGCGGCUUGACCAU
rnacentral:rRNA from 1 species